rnacentral:sRNA from 1 species
GUUGGGCGCAGUGGCGCAUGCCUGUAAUCCUGGCAUCUUGGGAGGCUGAGGCAGGAGGAUCACGAGUUCAAAGCCAGCCUCAGCAACUUAGUGAGGCCCUGAGCAACUCACUAGACCUUGUCUCUA